rnacentral:rRNA from 1 species
UACGGAGGAUGCGAGCGUUAUCCGGAUUUAUUGGGUUUAAAGGGUGCGCAGGCGGCGUGUCAAGUCAGCGGUAAAAUGUCGGGGCUCAACCCCGUCGUGCCGUUGAAACUGGCGCCCUUGAGUGGGCGAGAAGUAUGCGGAAUGCGUGGUGUAGCGGUGAAAUGCAUAGAUAUCACGCAGAACCCCGAUUGCGAAGGCAGCAUACCGGCGCCCGACUGACGCUGAAGCACGGAAGCGUGGGUAUCGAACAGG